rnacentral:rRNA from 1 species
AUGGACAAGGUGCUGGCCUUCUCCAUCCUAAGCACGUCGCCGGCGCCGGGGGCGACGUCGGCUACAGCAGGGCAAGAUAGGAAGCAGGGCGGUCUGCCGGCUGAGGCGGAGCGGCAGCCGGACAAGGGGAAAUCACAGUCGCCGCCAACGCUGCGGCCGCGGUUCGCGCCGGAGUUCGAUGGGAUCGACUGCUUCGAGACCAUCGUGUGCCACUGA